UGGAUUCACCUGAGAGCGGUGCGCAUGCCCUGGAAAGCAUUAUGGUUAGACCCAUGUGAGACAGUUCCCGAGAACCUCUUCCCUGGCCCGCUCAUGCCCACCCACCCCUGAGCCCCGGAUCACGCAGUGGGUGUCUCUCGCGAGAGCUCAUCGGCGCCCGCUGUGCAUUGGGAGGCUCACGUCCCCACCCUCGGGCUUUCCAAGGUGCCGCGCCAGGGGUUGCUGAGGUAGAGGUGGCUCCCCUGCUCCUCCUUCCACCUCUCCGAUUCCACCUCCUCCUCGCACCCCGCUGGGAACUCCUCCAGGGGCUGAGAUUGGAUUCACCGAGCCUGGCGCGCGGCGAUGGGAUAUGAACCAGUCACUGCCUUUGUGCUUUCCUCCUCUCUCCGCUGCCCCGGUCAACCAGCGGAGAGUGGGGAACUGCGGGCAGGUCGGCGGAGUUAGAUGGCAGCAAAGGUGGGCCGGCUUGGUGUGAUAAAGUUCCAACUGGGUCCUUCCGCGAGCCCUGGGUCCAUAAGAUGUCAUCGGCGAGCGCUGGACUUGACCGUCAACUUGGGAUUGUUAAGGUAAAUGGUGUCUCCUUCUGUCGCCAAGGCGGUGGCAUGGUCUCGGCUGGCUGCAAUCUCCACCUCCUUGCUUCCAGCGAUUCUCCUGCCUCAGCCCCCCGAGUAGCAGAAAUUACAGGAGUUUCAUGGCAGGGCGCUUGGCUGGCUUGUUUAAAUUCAUUCUGAAUAAGAACUGAGGAUGUCAGCUUCUGGCCUCAUGGACUCUGGACUGAAGAGUCCCCUUGUCUAUCUAUCAUGAGACUGUACACGUAAGAAGCAAAAAACUAGUAACAUUUAAAAUAAAUAAUUUUGUUGUACAGAAAUACACGGAUGCACCUAAAACACAGAAAUGAU
rnacentral:lncRNA from 1 species